rnacentral:miRNA from 1 species
UGCUAGACCCGAAUCCUCUUC